CAUGAAUUAAAAUAUAGUAAAUUUUAAUUCAUGGGUAUACCUAUAACUUACAGUCGUAAUCAAAAAUAAUUCAAUUUCUUAUCAAUUAAAGAUAAUAAACAAAGUGUUAGAAAGGUAAAAUACAUCAUGAUAAAAUUAAUAAAUUAUUUUCAUAGAACUAUAAAUAUAUAUUAUUAUUAUUAUUAUUUUAUUAUCCUAUAGUUUUACAAAAAUGUUUAUUUUUUUUUCUGUGGACAACUUUUCUACCAGAUGACCUACUUCGAGUUUUACGUGUAGCACCUUUUCUGGAAGGAAAUUGGUGUGAAGAGCUACUUUAGUGAGGUCGUUUUUCGAUUUUCUCCGGAGUUUUCUCAGAAAAUGUGAAAAAUCGGAAAAAAAACGACUUUUACUCAUCAACUAGAUACCAAGCAUAGAGUUGCUACUAGAAAAAGUAUACUGGCGCACCAAAGUUUAGUGACUCCCGCGAGGCAUGAAUCCGCUUGGUUGUAGAUUGCAAGGCGAUAGCACUCGUAUGACAAUAUGAGACGAUGUUGAAUUAAGAAAUAGAUACCACACAUUUAGUAUCAUAUCAAUAACAUAUAAAACUGCGGCGCGUAAUUAAGUAAUAACUGUUGAAAGCCUAUCAAUAAUGUUUGUUCAUCUUGUAAGAAAGUAGCUUAUUGUCCUAAUGUAGAACUAGGUGAUUGCAAAUUACAGCCAUUAAACUUAUCUUCAAGAAUAUCAGCUCUCUUUUCCCUCAACAUCUUUUGGCAAAGUUUAAGUGACAUCCGGUUAAUAAAAUCAACCACUUUCUGUCCAAAAGCCUCAACUAGGUACAGCUAUAAUAAUAAUAUGAACUGCGGCUCUAUCAAUGACUUUAUCGAUUAGCUGAACCGAUUUUAUAAGUAUUUUGAAGUGUAAUAAUUGGAAAAACAAAUACAUAAAAGAUUAUAUUUAACGUCAAUAAAUUAUACAAACACUACUUGUAUCAUAUUUAUUAAAUUGUAUUA